CAUCUUUUUCCUAAUAAAGGAUUGCAAAUGUUUGUCCAGCCUAUUCAAUCUUCUAAGAUGCUAAUAGAAUAUAUAAGAAGAACAUACAAAUCUUUCUUGCAUGGAUUACAAAAGGAUUAAGGUAGCAUAAAAGUUUACAUAACAUCUCAUAAUUUAUCUUGCAGUGAGAGCACUAACAUAAAAGGAUUAAGGUUGCAUCUUCCCCUUCUGGGAUGAUUCCAUUGUGUUGAGGUCGCGUUGGACAUCAAUCCUUAGAACCUCCAAUGCCCUGACGAACACCGGCAGCUCGUCCGCCCCGAGAGCUUCCACGUCCACCUCCCACCAGUUCUGUUUCCC
rnacentral:lncRNA from 1 species